GAUGAACGCUAGCGGGAGGCCUAACACAUGCAAGUCGAGCGGGUAUUAUUCUUUCGGGGAUAAGAGAGCGGCGAACGGGUGCGUAACACGUGUGCAACCUGCCCUUAUCAGGGGGAUAGCCCGGAGAAAUUCGGAUUAAUACCCUAUAAUAUAUUAGAUGGCAUCAUUUAAUAUUGAAAGCCACGGUGGAUAAGGAUGGGCACGCGCAAGACUUAGCUAGUUGGUGAGGUAGCGGCUCACCAAGGCGACGAUCUUUAGGGGGCCUGAGAGGGUGAUCCUCCACACUGGGACUGAGAUACGGCCCAG
rnacentral:rRNA from 1 species